CUUGUUUCCAUUGGGUGUACAGGAGUGACGACCUGUAUACUACAUGUCAGAAAAAUGCAUUAUUAUGUUUGAUCAAAACCUGCUUACAAGGUAGAAAUAUAACCACUGAUAAUCUGAUAAUCUGUUUAAAUUCUUGAUAGUGUUUUCGAAAACCUUCCAGACAGUAUAGUGUAGUUUGUUAGAAUCCUAAACGGGCUAAUGAUCAUUAUUGCCCCCCCCUUUUUUU
rnacentral:lncRNA from 1 species